AUUGAACGCUGGCGGCAGGCCUAACACAUGCAAGUCGAACGAGUGGCGGACGGGUGAGUAAUGUCUGGGAAACUGCCUGAUGGAGGGGGAUAACUACUGGAAACGGUAGCUAAUACCGCAUACCAUCGGAUGUGCCCAGAUGGGAUUAGCUAGUAGGUGGGGUAAAGGCUCACCUAGGCGACGCUCCCUAGCUGGUCUGAGAGGAUGACCAUGCACACUGGAACUGAGCCACGGGCCAUACUCCUACGGGAGGCAGCAGUGGGGAAGAGUGCACAAUGGGCGCAAGCCUGAUGCAGCCAUGCCGCGUGUAUGAAGAAGGCCUUCGGGUUGUAAAGUACUGUCAGCGGGGAGUCGUUACCCGCAGAAGAAGCACCGGCUAACUCCGUGCCAGCAGCCGCGGUAAUAC
rnacentral:rRNA from 1 species